rnacentral:lncRNA from 1 species
CAAACCCUCCCACCCCUUUCCAGGGACCUACCCUCCCCCCCCUUUCAGGGACCUACCCUCCACCCCUUUCCAGGGACCUACCCUCCAACCCCUUUCCAGGGACCCUUACCCUCCCACCCCUUUCCAGGGACACACCCUCCCACCCUUUCCGGGUAUUGAGUCCCAGUCCUCACCAGUGAUCUCCAGGUGCAUGGAGCUGUCCCUGGGGAGGGGUAAAGACAGGAAGUUGAAGGGGUCGAAACGAGCGCUGAUGUGACCACACGUCUUACACUUGACCUGGGACUUGAGCUGGCCGUGGAAACGAUCCACCACGAUGGAACGGUUCCUCCGCAAGUGGUUCUCCCACGCCUGACGAUUAACUGUAUAUCAAUACACUUCACAGGUCAUCCACUCCUUAAGAAGUGCUUAGUGGAUGGGCUGACUUUCAUUGACUCUCUCCUGGUCUCUAGACACCCAAGAUGGCUGCCAGAAGAUGCUCCUAAGGACGAUGAUGAUGAUGAUGAUGUAGUGCUGUAUGAUGAUUGGUGAAUGUUACUAAACAGUCUAGUUUUUCCUUUUCCUUUUUUAGUUGAUUGAUUUUAUUUUUUCCAUAUUAACAGUGGAAAAUUCUCUGAGAAAAUAAAGAUUGAUUUGAUUGUACUUGUGUGUAUUGGUUGACUGUGUGCGUGCGCGCGUGUGUGUGUGUAUUGGUUGACUGUGUGCGUGCGCGCGUGUGUGUGUGUAUUGGUUGACUGUGUGCGUGCGCGCGUGUGUGUGUGUGUAUUGGUUGACUGUGUGCGUGCGUGUGUAUUGGUUGACUGUGUGCGUGCGCACGUGUGUGUGUGAAGUUGUGCGUGUAUGUUUUGGUUUAUUGAUUGAACUCUGACCUCUAAGGCGACCUCCCAGUCGGGUCGUCCGUUGCUGUCCUUCAGCUCUACGUAGGGUUUCUCAUGCACCCUGUUCAGGUCCUCAUGGAGCCCGUCCAAUAGGAAGGCCAGGAGCUCCUGACUGUCCUGCUGCUGGAAGCCGUUGAACCGCGGGGCGUACUUUGCUAUCGUCCACUACAGGGGGCGGUAGUGAGACAACCACAUAUUAGUCAAUUCAUUCAUGUCACAAUGACUACGUUACCACAAGCUGAUCAAUUCUGAUCAUUUUUUCCCCACAACUGUUUAUUUUGACCAAUCACAUUAGAUCUUCUUCAGAGCUGAUCUGAAUGGUGAAAAAAAGACUGCUUCUUGCCGACCGUGUCAGCGUACACGGCGCCCGGCCCGCCUCAGGAGUCGCUAGUGCGCGAUGGGACAAGGACAUCCCUUCCGGGCUUAACCCUCCUCUAACCCGGACGACGCUGGGCUAAACCCUCCCUUAACCCGGACGACGCUGGGCCAAACCCUCCCCAACCCGGACGACGCUGGGCCUAAACCCUCCCUACCCGGCGAAGCGUGGGUCAAACCCUCCCC